UAGGGAAUCUUCCACAAUGGACGAAAGUCUGAUGGAGCAACGCCGCGUGAGUGAAGAAGGUUCUCGGAUCGUAAAACUCUGUUGUGAGGGAAGAACAAGUACCGGAGUAACUGCCGGUACCUUGACGGUACCUCGUUAGAAAGCCACGGCUAACUACGUGCCAGCAGCCGCGGUAAUACGUAGGUGGCAAGCGUUGUCCGGAAUCAUUGGGCGUAAAGCGCGCGCAGGCGGUCCCUUAAGUCUGAUGUGAAAGCCCACGGCUCAACCGUGGAGGGUCAUUGGAAACUGGGGGACUUGAGUGCAGAAGAGGAAAGCGGAAUUCCAAGUGUAGCGGUGAAAUGCGUAGAGAUUUUGGAGGAACACCAGUGGCGAAGGCGGCUUUCUGGUCUGUAACUGACGCUGAGGCGCGAAAGCGUGGGGAGCAAACAGGAUUAGAUACCCUGGUAGUCCACGCCGUAAACGAUGAGUGCUAAGUGUUAGGGGGGUUUCCCGCCCCUUAGUGCUGCAGCUAACGCAUUAAGCGCUCCGCCUGGGGAGUACGGCCGCAAGACUGAAACUUAAAGGAAUUUGACGGGGGUCAUAGCUGUUUCCUG
rnacentral:rRNA from 1 species